rnacentral:rRNA from 1 species
CCUACGGGAGACAGCAGUGCGGAAUAUUGGUCAAUGGACGAGAGUCUGAACCAGCCAAGUAGCGUGAAGGAUGACUGCCCUAUGGGUUGUAAACUUCUUUUAUAUGGGAAUAAAAUGUUCCACGUGUGGGUUUUUGUAUGUACCAUAUGAAUAAGGAUCGGCUAACUCCGUGCCAGCAGCCGCGGUAAUACGGAGGAUCCGAGCGUUAUCCGGAUUUAUUGGGUUUAAAGGGAGCGUAGGUGGAUUGUUAAGUCAGUUGUGAAAGUUUGCGGCUCAACCGGAAAAUUGCAGUUGAAACUGGCAGUCUUGAGUACAGUAGAGGUGGGCGGAAUUCGUGGUGUAGCGGUGAAAUGCUUAGAUAUCACGAAGAACUCCGAUUGCGAAGGCAGCUCACUGGACUGCAACUGACACUGAGGCUCGAAAGUGUGGGUAUCAAACAGGAUUAGAUACCCUUGUAGUC